rnacentral:rRNA from 1 species
GAUGAACGCUAGCGGCAGGCUUAAUACAUGCAAGUCGUGGGGCAGUGCAGUGUAGCAAUACAUGGGCGGCGACCGGCAAACGGGUGCGUAACACGUACGCAACCUUCCCGUUACUGGGGAAUAGCCCAGGGAAACUUGGAUUAAUACCCCAUAUUAUAUUGAUUGGGCAUCUAAUUAAUAUCAAAGCUUCGGCGGUAACGGAUGGGCGUGCGGUUGAUUAGGUAGUUGGCGGGGUAACGGCCCACCAAGCCUACGAUCAAUAGCUGAUGUGAGAGCAUGAUCAGCCACACGGGCACUGAGACACGGGCCCGACUCCUACGGGAGGCAGCAGUAAGGAAUAUUGGGCAAUGGACGAAAGUCUGACCCAGCCAUGCCGCGUGGAGGAUGAAGGUCCUCUGGAUUGUAAACUUCUUUUUUCUGGGGCGAAAACCGGUUUUUCUAAACCAUUUGACAGUACCAGAAGAAUAAGCACCGGCUAACUCCGUGCCAGCAGCCGCCGCUGUAA